CAUCCGAUGUUGUGCUCCUCCUGUUCCCUUGAAAGGAUUGCUGGAUGGAAAGAUGUUUUUGCUUUCAGGAUUUCUGGUGUGUGUACGACCCUCUAAGUAACUCUUUUUCAUCUCAUGCAGCAGCAGAGGCUUAGAGGAAGGCGCUGCAGCGUGGAUGCACAUGGGAUGCUGCAGGUUAAAGUCCUUUUAGUUUGUUGAUAAUUUGUCAGACGUAGAUUGUAAGUUAUAUAGCAGAAAUAGAUUUUAAUUUGUGUAUGGUGUGGAUUCCAAAAACUAAUCUGCUUGUACUGAAUUAAUGUCUUGUACAUAAAUUUGCAUGAUGAAUCUUUUUGCAAGAUACAUGUGCCAAAGAGGAGGAGAGUAUGAAAGGAUAAAGGAGUCAGGAAGGACCGAAGGAGAAAUCAUAUGUGAGCUUAAUUAAUGCUUCCUAAUCAGUAUGCUUUUCAUAUUGCCGUUUAUUGAACUAAUAUAGUUUGCUUUUGAUUAAGGAUCUUGACAAGGCACCUAGCUGUUUUUUAUUUUCUGUAGCUUUUGUUGAUCUUCUCCUUGUUUGGAUUAAAUUUCUCAUCGAUUUCCUAUCCUUUGCAGGAACAUGAACCUGAUGAUGACCCAUAGUUGGAUGUAUGUGAGAGGUACAGGUGUUAGCUCAUAAGCAUAUCAUAAUACAACAUGACGUGUAUAAUUAUUCAGUUGUUCUUUUUAUCCAUGCCUCAGUCAGACCAAAUUAAAUGACAAACUGCAAUUAUACGAAGACCCAUUACAUACACGACCAGCCCACCUGUCAUCGCGAGACAAGUUAAAAGUGAAGCAACUAAAUGUUUGGGUCGAAUGUUGUUACUAUUGGUUUCUUCAAGGGUAGUAACUUUUACCCAACAUAUGUCAUUUUUUAGGUUAAUUGACUAGCCCCUCUUUUUAUAAUGGUCCAGUCAAUUAAGAGAAAAGGGGAAAGGAAAAUGUAUGACGACACAAGGGCUAUAAAUUACAGAGUGAAUUACAUAGCCUGCAACAUUUGCAUCCCUGGCCCUAUUUAUGAUCCUACAAGGGCUAUCUCUAUGAGCUGAACAAUUACAGCAGAGGACACACUCAAAUUCAGAGUUUAGAGCUUGAUGAGCAAUGUUGUGAGAACUUGUUGAUGAUCUGCCUAUUUUCCG
rnacentral:lncRNA from 1 species